UCAAAUAAUAUCCUCCCAAAUGCAAAUAUUCAAAUCAUCUUCUUAUUCUUAGCACUCAUGAGCAAUUUAGUGGUGGUAUGGAGAGAAAAAAAACAACAAUAGACAAAAUUUAGAGCAAAUAAUCAACUUGUCAAUAGUCAGUCAGAGUAGCUAUAAUAUAGAUUUAAAAAAAUCAAGUUAGAUAAAAAAAAAUAAAGAUAGACCAAAAUAAAUCAUCAUAUUAAUUUAGAAAAAUCCAUAAACAGAGUGCCUCAAAUUAACUAACUCCAAAAACAUGAACAACUGAACAAUUAAUUAAUUAAGUGUUUAACGUCAACAUCUACACGGAGUUUGUGAAGGGAAACCUUCGCAUUCCCCUCCCGGACCUGUGACGUUAUAAUGCGGGGGGAAAAGGCCGCAGAAUUUUCCCGUAGUUCUGAUCUCCAAAGAUCUCUAGUAAAACUGCCUUGCGGCGGCACCAUAAACUCAAGCUCUCCAAACAACUUCACCCCCCAAACUCGCCACCCCAUAACAACCGUCGCUGCCACCUCCCAUUAGUAAUUCAUUUGCCAUGUCCUCGCCCACAUAUGACCUCACCAUUGCUAGGCUGAAGUUGAUGGUGGUCUAGCUCAUCUUGUUUAAAGGUGGAAGAGACAAUGGCGUCAUUGUGAGAAUGAGUUUGUCCUCCUUCUCCUCGUCCCCGUACAAGAGUCUCGCCGGGAAGUUUUUGCAAGAGACGCCCAAUAUGUGGUUGGGGUUAAUAAACACCAGGCUCAGGUCCCAUAUGGCAGUUAAAUACCAAUUGUUGUUGUUGGAGGAGCCACCAGCAGAAGCAGCGACAACAAGACUCGGGGUGAGUGGGCACGGGGACACAACUACUGAGUCAAGCCGAAACUUAGGGAACUUGAGGUCUAGCAAGCCGUUCUGCAACACCAUUAAGUAGAAAAGUAUUGACAAACAUGCGAAAAUGCCCCCCAUUAAGAGCAACUCCACUCAUUUGCCCUUAGCCAUGAUAAGGAGGGAUCUACGACAGCCACUAUUCACGUGAAUAGUGGUUACCCUUGUAAAUAGUAUUUUGUGUUUCCG
rnacentral:lncRNA from 1 species